rnacentral:rRNA from 1 species
AUAAUGGAGAGUUUGAUCCUGGCUCAGGACGAACGCUGACGGCGUGGAUUAGGCAUGCAAGUCGAACGAGAAAUUCCCCGCUUGCGGGGAAGAGUACAGUGGCGAACGGGUGAGUAACGCGUAGGUAUCUGCCUCGUAGACUGGGAUAGCCCCGGGAAACCGGGGGUAAUACCGGAUAUGUUUUACGAAACAAAGGUGGCCUCUGUUUACAAGCUGCCGCUAUGAGAUGAGCCUGCGUCAUAUUAGCUUGUUGGUAGGGUAAUGGCCUACCAAGGCGAUGAUGUGUAGCCGACCUUAACGGGUGACCGGCCACACUGGGAUUGAGAUACGGCCCAGACUCCUACGGGAGGCAGCAGUCGAGAAUAGUCUACAAUGGGGGAAACCCUGAUAGUGCGACGCCGUGUGUGCGAUUAAUUCCUUCGGGAUGUAAAGCACUUUUCUAUGAGAUAAAAGCUCUUUAGAUUAAUAGUUUAUUGAGACGGAUAUUAUUAUAGGAAUAAGCUCCGGCUAACUCCGUGCCAGCAGCCGCGGUAAUACGGAAGGAGCGAGCGUUGUCCGGAUUUACUAGGCGUAAAGGGCUAGUAGGCGACUAAUUAAGUUAUAUGUUAAAUCCCACGGCUCAACUGUGGUCCUGCAUGUAAUACUGGUUAGAUAGAGUACUGUAGAGGAAGGCAGAAUUCCUGGAGUAGCGGUGGAAUGCGCAGAUAUCAGGAAGAAUACCAAAAGCGAAGGCAGCCUUCUGGGCAGUUACUGACGCUGAAUAGCGAAGGUGUGGGUAGCGAACAGGAUUAGAUACCCUGGUAGUCCACACAGUAAACGAUGAUCACUAGAUGUUGGUGAGUAAAAAAAAUCAUCAGUGUCGAAGUUAACGCAUUAAGUGAUCCGCCUGGGGAGUACGAUCGCAAGAUUGAAACUCAAAGGAAUUGACGGGACCCCGCACAAGCGGUGGAGCAUGUUGUUCAAUUCGAUGCAACGCGAAGAACCUUACCUGGGCUUGACUUCCCGAGAAGACCUAUGAAAGCAGGUUGUGCCCCUUCGGGGGAACUCGGUGACAGGUGCUGCAUGGCUGUCGUCAGCUCGUGUCGUGAGAUGUUGGGUUAAGUCCCGCAACGAGCGCAACCCCUGUUCUUAGUUACCAUCAUUAAGUUGGGGACUCUAAGAAUACUGCCAAGGUGACAACUUGGAGGAAGGUGGGGAUGAUGUCAAGUCAUCAUGGUCCUUAUGCCCAGGGCUACAAACGUGCUACAAUGGUCGGUACAAAGAGCCGCUAAACAGCGAUGUCAUGCUAAUCUCAAAAAGCCGACCUCAGUUCGGAUUGGAGUCUGCAACUCGACUCCAUGAAGUUGGAAUCGCUAGUAAUCGCGGAUCAGCAGGUCGCGGUGAAUACGUUCCCGGGGUUUGUACACACCGCCCGUCAAGUCAACCGAGUUGAUUGUACCCGAAGCUGGUGAGCGAAUCCGUAAGGAUAGCAGCCGACGAAGGUAUGGUCAGCAAGGGGGACUAAGUCGUAACAAGGUAGCCGUACCGGAAGGUGCGGCUGGAUCACCUCCUUU